rnacentral:misc_RNA from 1 species
GAUGAAGAACGCAGUGAAAUGCGAUAAGUAAUGUGAAUUGCAGAAUUCAGUGAAUCAUCGGAUCUUUGAACGCACAUUGCGCCCAUUAGUAUUCUAGUGGGCAUGCCUGUUCGAGCGUCAUUUCAACCCUUAAGCCUAGCUUAGUGUUGGGAGACUGCCUAAUACGCAGCUCCUCAAAACCAGUGGCGGAGUCUGUUCGUGCUCUGAGCGUAGUAAUUUUUUAUCUCGCUUCUGCAAGCCGGCCAGACGACAGCCAUAAACCGCACCCUCUCGGGGGGCACUUUUUUAAUGGUUGACCUCGGAUCAGGUAGGAAUACCCGCUGAACUUAAGCAUAUCAAUAAGCGGAGGA